CACAGUUGGACAAUAAGUUGUUGCCUUGGCGAUAAGAUUUUGAAGUCAUGUUUUUGUACCUUGAGUUAAUGCUAGAGUUGAUAAGGAAGUCAGGUAAAGUUAACCUGCCUUCUCUGAAGUAAACAAGUAGUAGCUUAUGUGCCAUCCGUCCACAAGCUUAAUAAUUAUGGAAAUGAAAGUAAUAGUGUUCUAUCGAAUUUAGUUGGUCAUUGAGAGGUUAAAUUGUAAGUGUACUUCAGUCCAUGAGGUACUGUAUAUAUUUUUAGUAGUCAGUGACAGUUCUGUACACGAACCUAAUGUUCACUCUGAAAUGUCCAAGAAGAUCUGCGUCAACUUCUUUCCCUGCCAAGAACAUAUCUGAGGCACAGAUGUGCAAGUUUACAAGUAGCUCAAGAGUCAAGAUUAUGCACACCCAGCUUGAAGUCCUACUUUUCCCAUCAGGUCAUGGCAUUAGCUGUUACAGAAGCAGCAGCAACAACAACGUUAACCUCAUUGCCAAAGCCAAAUAACACCGGCAAGAUCCCAGUUACUGUCAUCAGCUACAAGGACUGGUCACCCCAAGAUGAUGGCAUUGAGGUUAUCUUGUCUCCAACUGAAAUACCUUCAACGAAGGAAGAUACGGAUGCACCCAGCAAUGCUGUGCUGAGUCUUGUCUAUGGUUCUACUACAAGAAGAAGAUUCCCACUGUUUGCUGAAAUUUGCCCUGAGUAGGAAAAUUUGUUGUCAACUAUACUUGUAGAGGCUUUGUUGAUGUUAUGUUAUAUAUGGUGUAUAGUAUCUGAAUGGUAUUGCAUUGUGAUGGUACUUGAAAAUUAAAAGGACAAUAGAUUAUUGUGUAUAAAAUCUCUUGUAGCGGUUUUUAUUCGA